ensembl:lncRNA proline-rich transmembrane protein 1-like
GCCAAAGAAGCAGGAAGGGGAGGUGUAAGGGAGAGAGAGAGAAUAGUAAGAUCCACCAGAAGAGGCAAGGAGCAGAAGGAGGAGGCCAAGAAGGGGGGAGAAAGUGCAAGAGAAGAGAGGAGGGAGAGGGAGAACAGAUUUAGCUUGCAAUACAUCAGAAACAGACAUAAAGAAGAAACUAGUACUUGGGUGGGGUGUGUGUGUGUGAAGGGAUUCCAUCCGAAGCCUGCAGAACAGCCGAAGAGCAAGCAACAUGAGCCACCCACAAUACCAAACCUUCCAGGGGGAUCAACCUGCCUCUCCAAAUCCACCCUCCUACUCAGAAAAAGAGCUCUGCAAAGACCCUGACCCUGCUGGAUCUGCACUUCCCACGGGCCAAGGGGCCGCUGUCCCUAUGCCUCCUUCCUAUGGCUUACCCAGCCCAGCCUACCAACCUCCGAUCAUUCAACCCCAGCAGACGGUCCUCCUCACCCCGAUCUACCCUUCCGUUGAACCAGAUUACCUGGCCUACUCCAUCUUCACCAUGCUCUUCUGCUGCUUGCCUUUGGGGAUCGCUGCCUUGAUUUUCUCAAUAAAGACCCGAGAUGCCAACCAUUUUGGAAACAUCAUGGCUGCGCAGCGAAAUUCCAAGUUGGCCCGCAACUUUUCCCAUGCUGCUCUUGGUUUUGGCAUCGCCGUCUUGAUCAUGAAUAUCGCCAUACUGGUGACCCUGUAUCUGUUGAACAAACCCUGAAGGCUUGUAUCUUCUCGUUCUUGAGAUACAAAACAGAAGCAAAAGGCUUGAAUUCAUCUGCAGUGGGCGAUUACAUCACAAGUUACAGCGGCUUACUCACACACCCAUGAAAAACACAAGGAUUUCCUCCCUCCUGACUGCUCUCACCAGCUAUAGAAUGAGGUUUUAAGGUUCUAGCAGCUAGAUUUGUAACAUGAUUUGUGUUAAGCUUUAGACAUAAACAUACUCCAGCUCUACAAAGCACCAAAGCAUCAUCUGGAGCAAGGGAAAAGGGGUGUUGGGUGGCAAGAAUCAAAUGGGAUACAACAACAUGCCUGCAAAUUGUCCUGUUGUCGUUAUUAAUUGUCAACCUCCUUGGAAUCCCACAAGGGGUUGAGAUCAUCUUCUUUUAACUGUUCCUCCUCCCAUCAGUCCACCAUCUUCUCAUUUCCUCUUCUAGGCUAUUCUGUACAUUUCAGACCUCGGGUGAUUUGUUUGUAGUUGUUUGAUCAUUCAGUUUUAACUUCUGGUUCAGUUCUUCCCAAAAUUCACUAGUUUUUUUUUUCUCUCCUUCAUCUAAUAUAAGUCCCUGAGAACUCCCCAAUUCUGACGCUACAGAUUGUUAAUCAAGCCCUUUCUGUCCAAUUAUAGAUCAUACCACAGCUUUCCUCUGCUCACUGGUUUUGCAACCAUCUCCUCCAGUCUGUUUUCAAAACCCAGAAAGCAUCUGAAUGCACCUUUUCAGAGUCCCGUAUGCAAGAGGAAUACAUGAUCUGACAGGGUUGAUCAUCAAGUAUGGUCCUUGGUUUUCUUGAAACAGUUUUUGCUUACCUCUUUGGAAGAAGAACAGAGGGUUCAACAUCUGAUGGCGGAAAUAAAUAUUGUAUGAUGAAAAUAAAGAAAUGGCUC